AGAGUUUGAUCCUGGCUCAGGAUGAACGCUAGCGGCAGGCUUAAUACAUGCAAGUCGAGGGGCAGCACGAAUAGCAAUAUUUGGUGGCGACCGGCGCACGGGUGCGUAACACGUAUACAACCUACCUAUAACAGGGGAAUAGCCUUUCGAAAGAGAGAUUAAUACCCCGUAAUAAAUUGAGUGGCAUCACUUGAUUUUGAAAGCUCCGGCGGUUAUAGAUGGGUAUGCGUCUGAUUAGCUAGUUGGUGAGGUAAUGGCUCACCAAGGCGACGAUCAGUAGGGGAUCUGAGAGGACUAACCCCCACACUGGUACUGAGACACGGACCAGACUCCUACGGGAGGCAGCAGUAAGGAAUAUUGGUCAAUGGAGGCAACUCUGAACCAGCCAUGCCGCGUGCAGGAUGACGGCCCUAUGGGUUGUAAACUGCUUUUGUACCAGAGAAAACCCCAGUACGUGUACUGGGUUGAUAGUAUGGUAAGAAUAAGCAUCGGCUAACUUCGUG
rnacentral:rRNA from 1 species